GUACACUUUGUCCGCGCCAGGCAGGUGGCCGUUAUGCGGUGUUGUGGUGCUUAUAUUGGCUUGGGAUCCUUACCUGCUUGACUUACUGCUACUGAUAUUGUCACCAUUAGCCCACUGUUAUUUCGUUCCCUUCCCUUUUGGUAUCAGAGCCUCAGUAUCAUAUUAGUAUUAUCAUUAUAGUCCUAAAAACUUGCCUUAUUGAAAAAUUUGGACUUGUCAAAAAAUUUGAUUUAGUUUUGCCUUAUUAAUUAUUUUAACAUGGAUUUAAAUGCCUGUUUAAAUGCUUACAAUAAAG
rnacentral:lncRNA from 1 species